AGAGUACUUCCUCCGUCCGAAAAUACUUGUCUUCAAAAUGGAUAAAUAGAGAUGUAUCUAGAACUAAAAUACGUCUAGAUACAUCCCCUUUUAUCAAUUUUGAUGACAAGUAUUUUCGGAUAGAGGGAGUAACUG
rnacentral:pre_miRNA from 1 species